UACGUAGGUGGCAAGCGUUAUCCGGAAUUAUUGGGCGUAAAGAGCGCGCAGGUGGUUGAUUAAGUCUGAUGUGAAAGCCCACGGCUCAACCGUGGAAGGUCAUUGGAAACUGGGGAACUUGAGUGCAGAAGAGGAGAGUGGAAUUCCAUGUGUAGCGGUGAAAUGCGUAGAUAUAUGGAGGAACACCAGUGGCGAAGGCGGCUUUCUGGCCAGUUACUGACGCUCAUGCGCGAAAGCUGGGGUAGCGAACCGGAUUAGA
rnacentral:rRNA from 1 species